rnacentral:rRNA from 1 species
CCUACGGGUGGCUGCAGUGGGGAAUUUUGGACAAUGGGCGCAAGCCUGAUCCAGCCAUGCCGCGUGUGUGAAGAAGGCCUUCGGGUUGUAAAGCACUUUCGGCCGGAACGAAAUCGCGCGGGCGAACAUCCCGCGUGGAUGACGGUACCGGAAGAAGAAGCACCGGCUAACUACGUGCCAGCAGCCGCGGUAAUACGUAGGGUGCGAGCGUUAAUCGGAAUUACUGGGCGUAAAGGGAGCGCAGGCGGGAAAUCCCCGGGCUUAACCUGGGAAUGGCGCUUGAAACUACGGGGCUGGAGUAUGGCAGAGGGAGGUGGAAUUCCACGUGUAGCGGUGAAAUGCGUAGAGAUGUGGAGGAACACCGAUGGCGAAGGCAGCCUCCUGGGCCAAUACUGACGCUCAUGCACGAAAGCGUGGGGAGCAAACAGGAUUAGAUACCCGAGUAGUC